AGCUUUAUAUUCAUAAAAUAAAAUGAUAUAAAAUUGCAAAUUUUAAGGUGUAAAAAUUACUAAGGCUU
rnacentral:tRNA from 1 species